GGGGUCCAAUGGUGGUGGGUUAUCAAAACUUACUAACAUUAGUGUCACUAUAGUUGGUAUACAACCCCCCACUGCUAAAUUUGACUGGCUAAA
rnacentral:Y_RNA from 1 species